CAGACGCACUUAACCCUUUCCCAGCUGGCUGACACAGGCCCAGGGGACUUAAAAAAUAAAACACACAACAGACUGGUAGGUCUGCAAACCAUCCAGAUGAUUACCAAGGCUGUUGUCAGCCUAGAGGCUUCACUCUCAUCAGCAGGUGGUCCAGGAAGUCCUGGAGGACCAGGUGGUCCCUAAAAUGAAAAUCAAUAAAAAAGAUACAGGAGGACCCCCGUACUGGCUUAACCUCGUGUACUGUCAACCCACCGUCCCACUCUGCCUGGGUGUGCUGAAGGGCCAUGUGCUGAAGGGCCAUGAUGGCUUUCCUGGAUCCCAGGUGUCCGGUCUCUUUGCAGCUUGUUGCCUCUCCUGGACUCUCCCGUACUGGAAACACACCUACUGGCUUAUCCUCCCUUUCUCCUUUCUUUGUCAUGGGUGUGUGUUUGCUGCACAGGAGGACCCACCUACUGGCUUAUCCUCGUGGACUGUUAACCCACUAUCCCACUCUGCCUGGGUGUGCUGAAGGGCCAUGGUUGAAGAUGGCUUACCUGGACCCCUGGUGUCCGGUCUCUUUACAGCUUGUUGCCUCUCCUGGACUCUCCCG